CUUUUAAAAACAAAUGCCCGUCGGGUAUGUAUAAUGGAAUCAUGGAAUCUGAAAAAUACAUCAUUUUGAUUUUAUUGCAAAAUUUAAAGACCGGUUUGUAAAUUACUGCACAAAGAUUACACAGUUCGGCAAUUUGAAUUUUUUGCUCGCCUUCUGAAGUGAACGGACGGGUUUUUUUUAUUGCGUAAAUUUUGUUUUAAUCUAAAAAGUUGUUAUUAAAAAAAAAAAAGUUUUAAAUAAUAGUUUAAUAAUAAAACUACAGAAAAAAUACAAACUGAUACAUUUUAGUAACUAUGUAAUAAGAUUUUAUCAAAAUAAUUGAAUUGAGAUUUUAUCAAUCAUAUAAGUUAAUUAUGGCAGUUACUUGAGAUGAGAUUAAAAAAAUAUUGAAGGAGAUGUUUAGUGAUUACAAAAAACAAUUUAAAGAAAUCUUAAAGCAACAAGAAAUAAACAUUCUAGCCAUUGUAAGUUCAAGCACAAAAAUAAUUCAUGACCGCUUAGAUAAAGUUGAAAAAAAUAUAAUCGACAAUGUCGAACGAGUUAAGUCAAUAAUAAAAGAUGUUGAAGAAAUAAAUUAAGCUUAAUUUUUCAUGAACAGCUUGUUGAUGCUAAAAUAAAAACUGCAAUUAGUUAUCAGGAAAUGAUAAAUCCAUCUGGUAGUGAAACAACUAAACUAAACUCGGAAUUCCUUAAUAUAAAAAACAAGUUAAGGGAAAUGGAAGAUCGUUCGAGACAAAAUAACUUAAGAAUAGACGGUGUAAAAGAGAAUGAAAACGAAAGCUGGGAAGAGACCAAAUCAAAGGUAAAAAAAUUAUUAGAAGAUUAUCUAGAUGUAAAGAGUGUUAAAAUAGAACGAGCUCACAGAACUGGCAAAAAAGCCAAGAACAAUCGUACUAAAACUCUUGGAUUUCAAAGAUAAAACAGAAAUUCUUAAAAAAUCUUUUUAUCUGAAAGGAAAAAAUAUUUUCAUCAAUGAAGACUUUUGUCCGGAGACCAAACAAAUAAGAAGAGCUUUAAAAGAAAAGAUGAAAGUAGAACGAACAUCUGGGAAAUACGCUGUUAUAUCGCACGAUAGGUUGAUCAUACGUGAUUGGGCCUCCAAUCGAAAAAAGAAUUAGAAACGUGGCUUAAAAACAAUGAAGAAAACGCACGAUUUGAAUUAGCCAAUUAUGCAUCGGUUCAUCAAUCGCGUCAUAAACAUGCUGGUGGUGGGCGAAAUAUCUCAUAAGUAUUCAACAAAGUUUUCAGAGGAUAACGUUAUUGUUCCGAGAAUUAAUCUAAAAAUCAGUUCUUAUCGAAUUCAAUAUCGAGGACCUUUUUUAUGGAAAAAUUUUAUUAAAAACUCUAUCAAAGAACAAAACUCUUUAGAAAAAUU